CCUACGGGGGGCAGCAGUCGGGAAUAUUGCGCAAUGGAGGAAACUCUGACGCAGUGACGCCGCGUGCAGGAAGAAGGUUUUCGGAUUGUAAACUGCUUUAGACAGGGAAGAAAAAAGACAGUACCUGUAGAAUAAGCUCCGGCUAACUACGUGCCAGCAGCCGCGGUAAUACGUAGGGAGCAAGCGUUAUCCGGAUUUAUUGGGUGUAAAGGGUGCGUAGGCGGGCUUUUAAGUCAGCGGUAAAAAUUCGGGGCUCAACCCCGUCCGGCCGGUGAAACUGGGGGCCUUGAGUGGUCGAGAAGAAGGCGGAAUGCGUGGUGUAGCGGUGAAAUGCAUAGAUAUCACGCAGAACCCCGAUUGCGAAGGCAGCCUUCCGGCGCCCUACUGACGCUGAGGCACGAAAGUGCGGGGAUCGAACAGGAUUAGAUACCCUAGUAGUC
rnacentral:rRNA from 1 species